GACGAACGCUGGCGGCGCGCUUAACACAUGCAAGUCGAACGGAAAGGCCUGCUUUCCCUUGUGGAUUGCGGGUACUCGAGUGGCGAACGGGUGAGUAACACGUGAGUGAUCUGCCCCCAACUUGGGUAUAAGCCUGGGAAACUGGGUCUAAUUCCCGAUAGGACUGCAGGGUGGUGCCUGUGGUGGAAAACGAUUUUCUAGUGGUUGGGGAUGAGCUCGCGGCCUAUCAGCUUGUUGGUGGGGUAAUGGCCUACCAAGGCGGCGACGGGUAGCCGGCCUGGGAGGGUGGACGGGCACAUUGGGACUGAGAUAAGGCCCAGAAUCCUAAGGGAGGGAGGAGUGGGGAAUAUUGCAAAAUGGGCGGAAGCCUGAAGGAGCGAAGGCGCGGGGGGGAAUACGGCCUUCGGGGUGUAAACUUCUUUCGAACGGGAGGAAGCCACCUGGUUGGAAGGGGGGUGACGGUAGUGGUAGAAGAAGCACCGGCUAACUACGUG
rnacentral:rRNA from 1 species